rnacentral:rRNA from 1 species
GCGGAGGAAAAGAAACCAACAGGGAUUGCCCUAGUAACGGCGAGUGAAGCGGCAACAGCUCAAAUUUGAAAUCUGGCUCUCGGGCCCGAGUUGUAAUUUGUAGAGGAUGCUUUUGGUGCGGUGCCUUCCGAGUGCCCUGGAACGGGACGCCAUAGAGGGUGAGAGCCCCGUCUGGUUGGAUGCCAAUCCUCUGUAAAGCUCCUUCGACGAGUCGAGUAGUUUGGGAAUGCUGCUCUAAAUGGGAGGUAUAUGUCUUCUAAAGCUAAAUACCGGCCAGAGACCGAUAGCGCACAAGUAGAGUGAUCGAAAGAUGAAAAGCACUUUGAAAAGAGAGUUAAAAAGUACGUGAAAUUGUUGAAAGGGAAGCGUUUAUGACCAGACUUGGGCUUGGUUAAUCAUCCAGGGUUCUCCCUGGUGCACUUUUCCAGUCCAGGCCAGCAUCAGUUUGCUUCGGGGGAUAAAGGCUUCGGGAAUGUGGCUCUCUCCGGGGAGUGUUAUAGCCCGUUGCGUAAUACCCUGGGGCGGACUGAGGUACGCGCUUCUGCAAGGAUGCUGGCGUAAUGGUCAUCAACGACCCGUCUUG